rnacentral:misc_RNA from 1 species
GCAAACUUGGUCAUUUAGAGGAAGUAAAAGUCGUAACAAGGUUUCCGUAGGUGAACCUGCGGAAGGAUCAUUAAAAAAAUACUGGUCAGUUAAGGAAAACCCUAAGCUGAUCAUGUAUCUAAACCACUUGUUUACUUGUACCUGUUGCUUCCGUGGAGUUAGGGUGCUCGCUCUGUUCGCAGUUGUGGGUUACCUUCCACGGGUGUAUAUUAAAACUUGUAUUUUGUAUGUUUUGUCUGAAAAUUUUCUUAAUAAAGUUAAAACUUUCAACAACGGAUCUCUAGGUUCUCGCAUCGAUGAAGAACGCAGC